AUUUUUGGAAAGGGGGAGGCGCUUUCCUAGUGGCUAAAUGACUUGUGGGGGGACCACAGUCUGGAGGGGGAGGCUGGCCUGCCUCCUGGCUGGAGGAAGAUCCACGAUGCUGCAGGUACUUACUACUGGCAUAUACCCAGCGGUAGCACCCAGUGGCAGCGCCCAACCUGGGAACUAGGAGAUGCAGAGGACCCAGGCACGGUAGGUGGAGUGUGAGGAGGAGGUCUGAGCCCGUGUGUGGACCUAGGUCUGCUGUUAAACUGACUAACUCCCACUCUACAGGGAACGGAGGGGAUCUGGGGACUGCGACCCCCCAAAGGGAGAUCCUUCUCCAGCCUGGAGAGUUCACUGGACCGGAGGUAACGGGUGGCCCAGGCAAAAUGAAAGGCUUGGGGUUCCAUGGUGUUCAAAAACGCAGCUGAACCCAUGGUCUGCUUUCCAGCCCAGGUUCUGGAUUCCGUCACAUGUUUUGGGUUCUGUUAUGUUCUUGGCUCUGUCCCAAGUUCUUAACUGUCAGUAUUUUGAGUUUUAUCCCUUGUUCUAAGCU
rnacentral:sRNA from 1 species